rnacentral:rRNA from 1 species
AGAUUGAACGCUGGCGGCAUGCCUUACACAUGCAAGUCGAACGGCAGCACGGGAGCAAUCCUGGUGGCGAGUGGCGAACGGGUGAGUAAUACAUCGGAACGUGCCCAAUCGUGGGGGAUAACGCAGCGAAAGCUGUGCUAAUACCGCAUAAGAUCUACGGAUGAAAGCAGGGGAUCGCAAGACCUUGCGCGAAUGGAGCGGCCGAUGGCAGAUUAGGUAGUUGGUGAGGUAAAGGCUACACCAAGCCUUCGAUCUGUAGCUGGUCUGAGAGGACGACCAGCCACACGUGGGACUGAGGCACGGCCCAGACUCGUACGGGAGCAGCGA